rnacentral:misc_RNA from 1 species
UCAAACUUGGUCAUUUAGAGGAAGUAAAAGUCGUAACAAGGUCUCCGUUGGUGAACCAGCGGAGGGAUCAUUAUAGAGUUAUUAUAAAAACUCCCAACCCUUUGUGAACCAUACCAUCGUUGCCUCGGCGCUGAGCUGCGGUCGUCCUCUAGCUACCCUGUAGUGACCUACCCUGUAGUGACCUACCCUGUAGAUGGCUACCUGGGAGCUACUUGGUUAGACCUUUUAGCGGCGUCAAGGGACCACUAAACUCUUGUUUUUACCGUGUCUCUCUGAAUGAAGAAAACAAAAAUUCGUUAAAAACUUUCAACAACGGAUCUCUUGGUUCUGGCAUCGAUGAAGAACGCAGC